GGCUGAUGCCAAGUUGCCAGAUGCCCAGUCUGGCUACGAGAAGGCCUACACUAACGUGCUGGCCGGCCACAGCGGGGCCAAUCUGAUCUACGAGUCG
rnacentral:ncRNA from 1 species